rnacentral:rRNA from 1 species
UUGUCAUACUUCCAAGAAAAGCUUGCACUGUCAUAAACAAAUAAUGCCUGUACCAUAACCGACACAGGUGGGUAGGUAGAGUAUACUAAGGGGCGCGAGAUAACUCUCUCUAAGGAACUCGGCAAAAUGACUCCGUAACUUCGGGAGAAGGAGUGCCUUAUUUAUAAGGUUGCAAUAACAAGAUCCAAGCAACUGUUUACCAAAAACACAGGUCUCCGCUAAGUCGUAAGACGAUGUAUGGGGGCUGACGCCUGCCCAGUGCCAGAAGGUUAAAGAAGUUGGUUAGCAUCCGCGAAGCUGAUAACUGAAGCCCUGGUGAACGGCGGCCGUAACAAUAACGGUCCUAAGGUAGCGAAAUUCCUUGUCGGGUAAGUUCCGACCCGCACGAAAGGCGUAAUGAUUUGGAUACUGUCUCGGAGAGGGGCUCGGUGAAAUAGACUUGUCUGUGAAGAUGCGGACUACCUGCACCAGGACAGAAAGACCCUAUGAAGCUUUACUGUAACCUGAAAUUGAAAUUGGACUUUACUUGCGCAGUAUAGGUGGGAGGCGUUGAGAAUAUUCUUGCGGGAUUAUUGGAGCCAUCAGUGAGAUACCACUCUUGUAAUGUUAGAUUUCUAACUUUGUAUCAUUAUCUGGUCAAAGAACAGUUUCAGGCGGGCAGUUUGACUGGGGCGGUCGCCUCCUAAACGGUAACGGAGGCGCACAAAGGUUUCCUCUGAACGGGUAGAAAUCGUAUCUAGAGUGUAAAGGCAUAAGGAAGCUUGACUGUGAGACCUACAAGUCGAGCAGGGACGAAAGUCGGUCUUAGUGAUCUGACGGUGCUGAGUGGAAAGGCCGUCACUCAACGGAUAAAAGUUACUCUAAGGAUAACAGGCUGAUCUCCCCCAAGAGUUCACAUCGACGGGGAGGUUUGGCACCUCGAUGUCGGCUCAUCGCAUCCUGGGGCGGUAGUACGUCCCAAGGGUUGGGCUGUUCGCCCAUGAAAGCGGUACGCGAGCUGGGUUCAGAACGUCGUGAGACAGUUCGGUCCAUAUCCGGUGUAGGCGUUAGAAUAUUGAGAGGAGCCUUCUUUAGUACGAGAGGACCGAGAAGGACAUACCUCUGGUGUACCAGUUAUCGUGCCAACGGUAAACGCUGGGUAGCUAUGUGUGGAGUGGAUAACCGCUGAAAGCAUCUAAGUGGGAAGCCCACCUCGAGAUAAGUAUUCUCA